CGAUAGUAGUAAAGAUACAUGUUGUCUAGAAGCACUUGAGAUGAGUCAAACUCGUUUCGGACCGAUAUUUGCUGGAUAAAAUCUGUUGGAAGAUAAAUUCGACUACUACAAACGUUGGAAUUGAUUAAAAAGGGUUCGUAGAGGUUAGUAGAGGUUUGUAGUGAAAGAAUUUUCGAUAGUAGUAAAGAUACAUGUUGACUAGAAGCACUUGAGAUGAGUCAAACUCGUUUCGGACUGAUAUUUGCUGGAUAAAAUCUGUUUGAAGAUAAAUUCGACUACUACAAACGUUGGAAUUGACUAAAAAGGGUUCGUAGAGGUUAGUAGAGGUUUGUAGUGAAAGAAUUUUCGAUAGUAGUAAAGAUACAUGUUGACUAGAAGCACUUGAGAUGAGUCAAACUCGUUUCGGACCGAUAUUUGCUGAACAAAAUCUGUUGGAAGAUAAAUUCGACUACUACAAACGUUGGAAUUGAUUAAAAAGGGUUCGUAGAGGUUGGUAGAGGUUUGUAGUGAAAGAAUUUUCGAUAGUAGUAAAGAUACAUGUUGACUAGAAGCACUUGAGAUGAGUCAAACUCGUUUCGGACCGAUAUUUGCUGAACAAAAUCUGUUGGAAGAUAAAUUCGACUACUACAAACGUUGGAAUUGAUUAAAAAGGGUUCGUAGAGGUUUGUAGUGAAAGAAUUUUCGAUAGUAGUAAAGAUACAUGUUGACUAGAAGCACUUGAGAUGAGUCAAACUCGUUUCGGACCGAUAUUUGCAGGAUAAAAUCUGUUGGAAGAUAAAUUCGACUACUACAAACGUUGGAAUUGAUUAAAAAGGGUUCGUAGAGGUUAGUAGAGGUUUGUAGUGAAAGAAUUUUCGAUAGUAGUAAAGAUACAUGUUGACUAGAAGCACUUGAGAUGAGUCAAACUCGUUUCGGACCGAUAUUUGCUGAACAAAAUCUGUUGGAAGAUAAAUUCGACUACUACAAACGUUGGAAUUGAUUAAAAAGGGUUCGUAGAGGUUAGUAGAGGUUUGUAGUGAAAGAAUUUUCGAUAGUAGUAAAGAUACAUGUUGACUAGAAGCACUUGAGAUGAGUCAAACUUCUUUCGGAGCGAUCGCUCGGAAACAAAGAAGUUUGACUCACCUCAAGUGCUUCUA